GAUAUCAACUGAAAAAGUCAUCAACAACAAAGUUGAAUAACUCAUCAAGAUCUAAAACUUUUAUUUUGGUCAUUUCUUCAUACGACAAAGUGAUAGUAACAUUGUUCACAAAAUUGACAUAUCUCUUAUCUGGUUUUAUAAACUAUAACACAUAUAUGUAAAAUUUGUGAAUAAUAUUAAUAACGUUUCGUCGGAUGAAGAAAUAACAAAAAUAAAAGUUUUAGACCUUGAUGAGUUAUUCAACUUUGUUGUUGAUGACUUUUUCAGUUGAUAUC
rfam:Oryza sativa Japonica Group DNA, chromosome 8, cultivar: Nipponbare, complete sequence.